GGUUAAGCGACUAAGCGUACACGGUGGAUGCCCUGGCAGUCAGAGGCGAUGAAGGGCGUGCUAAUCUGCGAUAAGCGCCGGUAAGGUGAUAUGAACCGUUAUAACCGGCGAUACCCGAAUGGGGAAACCCAGUGUGACUCGUCACACUAUCAUUAACUGAAUCCAUAGGUUAAUGAGGCGAACCGGGGGAACUGAAACAUCUAAGUACCCCGAGGAAAAGAAAUCAACCGAGAUUCCCCCAGUAGCGGCGAGCGAACGGGGAGGAGCCCAGAGCCUGAAUCAGCAUGUGUGUUAGUGGAAGCGUCUGGAAAGGCGCGCGAUACAGGGUGACAGCCCCGUACACAAAAGCGCAUGUGCUGUGAGCUCGAUGAGUAGGGCGGGACACGUGGUAUCCUGUCUGAAUAUGGGGGGACCAUCCUCCAAGGCUAAAUACUCCUGACUGACCGAUAGUGAACCAGUACCGUGAGGGAAAGGCGAAAAGAACCCCGGCGAGGGGAGUGAAAAAGAACCUGAAACCGUGUACGUACAAGCAGUGGGAGCACCCUUUGGGUGUGACUGCGUACCUUUUGUAUAAUGGGUCAGCGACUUAUAUUCUGUAGCAAGGUUAACCGAAUAGGGGAGCCGGAGGGAAACCGAGUCUUAACCGGGCGUUAAGUUGCAGGGUAUAGACCCGAAACCCGGUGAUCUAGCCAUGGGCAGGUUGAAGGUUGGGUAACACUAACUGGAGGACCGAACCGACUAAUGUUGAAAAAUUAGCGGAUGACCUGUGGCUGGGGGUGAAAGGCCAAUCAAACCGGGAGAUAGCUGGUUCUCCCCGAAAGCUAUUUAGGUAGCGCCUCGUGAAUUCAUCUCCGGGGGUAGAGCACUGUUUCGGCUAGGGGGCCAUCCCGGCUUACCAACCCGAUGCAAACUGCGAAUACCGGAGAAUGUUAUCACGGGAGACACACGGCGGGUGCUAACGUCCGUCGUGAAGAGGGAAACAACCCAGACCGCCAGCUAAGGUCCCAAAGUCAUGGUUAAGUGGGAAACGAUGUGGGAAGGCCCAGACAGCCAGGAUGUUGGCUUAGAAGCAGCCAUCAUUUAAAGAAAGCGUAAUAGCUCACUGGUCGAGUCGGCCUGCGCGGAAGAUGUAACGGGGCUAAACCAUGCACCGAAGCUGCGGCAGCGACACUGUGUGUUGUUGGGUAGGGGAGCGUUCUGUAAGCCUGCGAAGGUGGCCUGUGAGGGUUGCUGGAGGUAUCAGAAGUGCGAAUGCUGACAUAAGUAACGAUAAAGCGGGUGAAAAGCCCGCUCGCCGGAAGACCAAGGGUUCCUGUCCAACGUUAAUCGGGGCAGGGUGAGUCGACCCCUAAGGCGAGGCCGAAAGGCGUAGUCGAUGGGAAACGGGUUAAUAUUCCCGUACUUGGUGUUACUGCGAAGGGGGGACGGAGAAGGCUAUGUUGGCCGGGCGACGGUUGUCCCGGUUUAAGCGUGUAGGUGUGUGUUCCAGGUAAAUCCGGUUCACUUUAACACUGAGGCGUGACGACGAGGCACUACGGUGCUGAAGCAACAAAUGCCCUGCUUCCAGGAAAAGCCUCUAAGCAUCAGGUAACAUCAAAUCGUACCCCAAACCGACACAGGUGGUCAGGUAGAGAAUACCAAGGCGCUUGAGAGAACUCGGGUGAAGGAACUAGGCAAAAUGGUGCCGUAACUUCGGGAGAAGGCACGCUGACACGUAGGUGAAGUGAUUUACUCAUGGAGCUGAAGUCAGUCGAAGAUACCAGCUGGCUGCAACUGUUUAUUAAAAACACAGCACUGUGCAAACACGAAAGUGGACGUAUACGGUGUGACGCCUGCCCGGUGCCGGAAGGUUAAUUGAUGGGGUCAGCGCAAGCGAAGCUCCUGAUCGAAGCCCCGGUAAACGGCGGCCGUAACUAUAACGGUCCUAAGGUAGCGAAAUUCCUUGUCGGGUAAGUUCCGACCUGCACGAAUGGCGUAAUGAUGGCCAGGCUGUCUCCACCCGAGACUCAGUGAAAUUGAACUCGCUGUGAAGAUGCAGUGUACCCGCGGCAAGACGGAAAGACCCCGUGAACCUUUACUAUAGCUUGACACUGAACAUUGAGCCUUGAUGUGUAGGAUAGGUGGGAGGCUUUGAAGUGUGGACGCCAGUCUGCAUGGAGCCGACCUUGAAAUACCACCCUUUAAUGUUUGAUGUUCUAACGUGGACCCGUUACCCGGGUUGCGGACAGUGUCUGGUGGGUAGUUUGACUGGGGCGGUCUCCUCCUAAAGAGUAACGGAGGAGCACGAAGGUUGGCUAAUCCUGGUCGGACAUCAGGAGGUUAGUGCAAUGGCAUAAGCCAGCUUGACUGCGAGCGUGACGGCGCGAGCAGGUGCGAAAGCAGGUCAUAGUGAUCCGGUGGUUCUGAAUGGAAGGGCCAUCGCUCAACGGAUAAAAGGUACUCCGGGGAUAACAGGCUGAUACCGCCCAAGAGUUCAUAUCGACGGCGGUGUUUGGCACCUCGAUGUCGGCUCAUCACAUCCUGGGGCUGAAGUAGGUCCCAAGGGUAUGGCUGUUCGCCAUUUAAAGUGGUACGCGAGCUGGGUUUAGAACGUCGUGAGACAGUUCGGUCCCUAUCUGCCGUGGGCGCUGGAGAACUGAGGGGGGCUGCUCCUAGUACGAGAGGACCGGAGUGGACGCAUCACUGGUGUUCGGGUUGUCAUGCCAAUGGCACUGCCCGGUAGCUAAAUGCGGAAGAGAUAAGUGCUGAAAGCAUCUAAGCACGAAACUUGCCCCGAGAUGAGUUCUCCCUGAGACUUAGAGUCUCCUGAAGGAACGUUGAAGACGACGACGUUGAUAGGCCGGGUGUGUAAGCGCAGCGAUGCGUUGAGCUAACCGGUACUAAUGAACCGUGAGGCUUAACCUU
rnacentral:rRNA from 4 species